rnacentral:rRNA from 1 species
ACAAUUACUUUGACUCUGGCCUCAAAUCAGGUAGGACUACCCGCUGAACUUAAGCAUAUCAAUAAGCGGAGGAAAAGAAACUAACAAGGAUUCCCUUAGUAACGGCGAGUGAACCGGGAAGAGCUCAAAUUUGUAAUCUGGCUGUCUUCGAUAGUCCGAGUUGUAAUCUAUAGAAGCGUUUUCCGUGCUGAACUGUGUAUAAGUCCCUUGGAACAGGGUAUCAAAGAGGGUGACAAUCCCGUACUUUACACAAUCAUCAGUGCUCUGUGAUACGUUCUCUACGAGUCGAGUUGUUUGGGAAUGCAGCUCAAAAUGGGUGGUAAAUUCCAUCUAAAGCUAAAUAUUGGCGAGAGACCGAUAGCGAACAAGUACCGUGAGGGAAAGAUGAAAAGCACUUUGGAAAGAGAGUUAAACAGUACGUGAAAUUGUUAAAAGGGAAACGAUUGAAGUCAGUCGUGUUUAUUGGAUUCAGCCGGUCUUCGGUGUACUUCCUUUAAACGGGUCAACAUCAGUUUUGUUCGGUGGAUAAAGGUAUUAGGAAUGUGGCUUCUUCGGAAGUGUUAUAGCCUAGUAUUGCAUACACUGGAGGAGACUGAGGACUGCAGCUCGCCUUUAUGGCCGGGGUUCGCCCACGUCGA